GACGAAGGUGGCGAGCGUUGUUCGGAAUCACUGGGCAUAAAGCGCACGUAGGCGGUGACGUAAGUCGGGUGUGAAAUCCCUCGGCCUAACCGAGGAACUGCGCCCGAUACUGCGUUGCUUGGAGGACCAGAGGGGUGCAUGGAAUUUCCGGUGGAGCGGUGAAAUGCGUUGAUAUCGGAAGGAACUCCGGCGGCGAAAGCGAUGCACUGGCUGGUUUCUGACGGCUGAGGUG
rnacentral:rRNA from 1 species